rnacentral:lncRNA from 1 species
GGGGUGGAGAGAGAUGAGUCUCCCAAACCUGAAAGAUUAAGACUAAACUGUAGUUUGUUACUUUGGAAAUAAUCUUCUAUGGGAAGGGAAAAUCAGUAGAAGAAACAAACAUACUUUCAGUUUCACAGAUUGUUCCAGCUUUGACCAUCAGGAGCUCUUCCAGUUGGUUCUUCUGCUCCUGUGACAUAUGACACAUUCCCACCAAUUGAAGCUGGCUUUGCUCAUGCAGAGGAACGGGGUACCUGGUCGUCCCUUCUCCCCAGCAAAAUGCUUAGAACCCAGGACACCACGAGGGUUUACUCUGGUUCUCCAUCUGCAGAAAAGAAAGUACAGACAUAAGAAUGAAGACGUAAAUAUGGUCAACAUAUGGCAAUUCCAUGAGAGAAGAGUUUUCUCGCAAGUCAUUGAAUAGCUGCUAGUAAAAAUGCAGGUCAUUCAUUGAGGCAUUUAAAAUAAAUUUCAAAUCACUCAGAAGUUAAAUUAGGUAAAUAAAGUUAAUGCGUGGAGGGCAGAUGGCUUUAUGAACUUUUAUUCUAAUGAAGAAAGAGAAUUCUAAGAAUGAAUGUAUAAAACAGAAAGGAAAAUAGAUGAGACAGUCCUGACUUUUACGUAGAAUAGGACAUUUGGUGAAUACCACAAGAAGUGCUGUUAUCUUUCUGUUCAGUAAACAGGCAUUUCAGGUGAACAAGGUGGUAAUGGAGGAAAUUCUGAGAAGAGUUUUCCCCAAAUUCAACUCUUUAGAUGCCUUGAGAGUUUGGGUGGUAUCGUCUGACCCAUCAUGGCCAUAAAUGUACUGUGAGGAUACAUGAUUCAGACACAAAGGUGUUCUUCGUGAAUGUCAGAGCGUUGGGAAAAUAAAAGAUCUGUAGCUUUUGUGA